rnacentral:rRNA from 1 species
GACGAACGCUGGCGGCGUGCUUAACACAUGCAAGUCGAACGAAGAGCGAUGGAAGCUUGCUUCUAUCAAUCUUAGUGGCGAACGGGUGAGUAACGCGUAAUCAACCUGCCCUUCAGAGGGGGACAACAGUUGGAAACGACUGCUAAUACCGCAUACGAUCUAAUCUCGGCAUCGAGGAUAGAUGAAAGGUGGCCUCUACAUGUAAGCUAUCACUGAAGGAGGGGAUUGCGUCUGAUUAGCUAGUUGGAGGGGUAACGGCCCACCAAGGCGAUGAUCAGUAGCCGGUCUGAGAGGAUGAACGGCCACAUUGGGACUGAGACACGGCCCAGACUCCUACGGGAGGCAGCAGUGGGGAAUCUUCCGCAAUAGACGAAAGUCUGACGGAGCAACGCCGCGUGAGUGAUGACGGCCUUCGGGUUGUAAAGCUCUGUUAAUCGGGACGAAAGGCCUUCUUGCGAAUAGUGAGAAGGAUUGACGGUACCGGAAGAGAAAGCCACGGCUAACUACGUG